CCUUUUGUAUAAUGGGUCAGCGACUUAUAUUCUGUAGCAAGGUUAACCGAAUAGGGGAGCCGAAGGGAAACCGAGUCUUAACUGGGCGUUAAGUUGCAGGGUAUAGACCCGAAACCCGGUGAUCUAGCCAUGGGCAGGUUGAAGGUUGGGUAACACUAACUGGAGGACCGAACCGACUAAUGUUGAAAAAUUAGCGGAUGACUUGUGGCUGGGGGUGAAAGGCCAAUCAAACCGGGAGAUAGCUGGUUCUCCCCGAAAGCUAUUUAGGUAGCGCCUCGUGAAUUCAUCUCCGGGGGUAGAGCACUGUUUCGGCAAGGGGGUCAUCCCGACUUACCAACCCGAUGCAAACUGCGAAUACCGGAGAAUGUUAUCACGGGAGACACACGGCGGGUGCUAACGUCCGUCGUGAAGAGGGAAACAACCCAGACCGCCAGCUAAGGUCCCAAAGUCAUGGUUAAGUGGGAAACGAUGUGGGAAGGCCCAGACAGCCAGGAUGUUGGCUUAGAAGCAGCCAUCAUUUAAAGAAAGCGUAAUAGCUCACUGGUCGAGUCGGCCUGCGCGGAAGAUGUAACGGGGCUAAACCAUGCACCGAAGCUGCGGCAGCGACGCUUAUGCGUUGUUGGGUAGGGGAGCGUUCUGUAAGCCUGUGAAGGUGUGCUGUGA
rnacentral:rRNA from 1 species